UACGGGGGGAGCAAGCGUUGUUCGGAUUUACUGGGCGUAAAGGGUGCGUAGGCGGCGCGGUAAGUCGGGUGUGAAAUCUCGGGGCUUAACUCCGAAACUGCAUUCGAUACUGCCGUGCUUGAGGACUGGAGAGGAGACUGGAAUUUACGGUGUAGCGGUGAAAUGCGUAGAUAUCUGGAGGAACACCGGUGGCGAAGGCGGCGUUCUGGACUGUAACUGACACUGAUGAACGAAAGCCAGGGGAGCGAACGGG
rnacentral:rRNA from 1 species